rnacentral:lncRNA from 1 species
UACAACAAUAGUAAAUAUUUAAAAAAGAAGAAUUAGGUGAGUUUAGUCACAAGAGGUAAAUUAAUAUUCUAUUUGAAGAGUGUGUGUGAGAGGGGAGAGUGGUUAGCAUGAAGUUAACUUUGAUCAAUUGAUUAAUACAGUAUUAACACACAAGUCGGGAAGUGAUCUCUCUGCGUGUCAGCACUGUAUUGGUCAAUUAUUUAACUUCAUGAUAACCGGAUCCGUGAGAGAGAGAGAGAGGUUACAAGAACGUUCAGAGCUCCAGCUUUGAAAUGGUGAGGAUAAGCUGGUCUUUUCUCACGCGAAACAUAAACAAGGAGAGGCAUCACAAUUUGGUCUAAGGAUUUGUCAUGGAUCACAUGUCGGACAAGAUAUUAAUUAUUAGAUGUUUGAAUUGAACAUUAGUACAAAUUUUGAUCACAUAUAUAAAUACUUUAUUACUAUCCAUCGACCAACUUUAAUAAAAAUGUUAACAUGAUAUAUAUUGUUGAGUCUCUCUCUAAUCAUUUAAACUAUUAGAUGAAUUAAUUGACAACUUAACAAGUAUUCUUUUUGUUUUAAAAUUACAGAUAUAUUUUUCUUUUUAAUCAGUUCUAAAAUUAAAGAUGCAUAUCUAUUUCACUGACUAUAAAAUGAUAUGAUAAUAUUCCUAAGUUGUCAUUAUUUUUUUACUAUCAUUUUCAAUAUCAAACUACCACAACUGAAUUCGUAACUAAUAUUUAGACUAUAUUUGAGAACAUAAAAUUAUCCUAAAAAUCGUCAUUUAAUAAAUAUAUCUCUAAUUUAUUUUGAAACGGAGUGAGUAUUAUAAACUUCUGAUAGAGUAAGUUGAAAUUUUAAGUUGUGCAAAAAUUUGAGUUUAAAUUUACCAGCCGCAUGUUGCCCGUGCAUAGUCAAUUACUUAAAAUAAAUCAGCUUCACUUUUAGAAUAAAACAUUCUUUUGAGAUUAGCACUCCGAAAGUUAAGAAAACUACACCUAAAUAUUGUAUGUGUAACAAAGCCAUAUGCAUUGAAAAUGUUACUCUCUCACAUCCAAAAUAAAGUUUUAUAAUUUGUCAAUUUUUUAAUUUAAAAAAAUAGAAUUCCAUUUCAUUUCAUUUGAUAGUUAUAAAAAUGACACAAUAUAUUGUUAUCACUAUGAAACUGAAAAUUUAAUAAAUCUAAGGAUACACGUAGAGUAAAAAUAUUAAUUACUAUAAAGAACAAUGAGACUCAUUUUAUAUAAGGUAUAUUUAACAUACCUCAACAACCGAAGGAUGAUCUCUAUUAAGUAUGGGGAUUUCAUUUUCUCUAAUUCUAAUCACACUCUCUGUGAACUCCUCAUAUUUUUCCUG